rnacentral:rRNA from 1 species
AUUGAACGCUGGCGGCAUGCUUUACACAUGCAAGUCGAACGGUAACAGGUUAAGCUGACGAGUGGCGAACGGGUGAGUAAUGCAUCGGAACGUGCCCGAUCGUGGGGGAUAACGCAGCGAAAGCUGCGCUAAUACCGCAUACGAUCUGAGGAUGAAAGCGGGGGACCGUAAGGCCUCGCGCGAUCGGAGCGGCCGAUGUCAGAUUAGGUAGUUGGUGGGGUAAAGGCCCACCAAGCCGACGAUCUGUAGCUGGUCUGCGAGGACGACCAGCCAAACUGGGACUGAGACCCGGCGCAGACGCCUACGGGAGGCAGCAGUGGGGAAUUUUGGACAAUGGGCGAAAGCCUGAUUCAGCAAUGCCGCGUGCAGGAAGAAGGCCUUCGGGUUGUAAACUGCUUUUGUACGGAGCGAAAAGGUCCCUUCUAAUACAAGGGGCUCAUGACGGUACCGUAAGAAUAAGCACCGGCUAACUACGUGCCAGCCGCCGCCGUAAUAC